AUUGAACGCUGGCGGCAGGCCUAACACAUGCAAGUCGAGCGGAGGAAGGGAGCUCGCUCCUGGAUUCAGCGGCGGACGGGUGAGUAAUGCGUAGGAAUCUGCCUGGUAGUGGGGGAUAACGUCCGGAAACGGGCGCUAAUACCGCAUACGUCCUGAGGGAGAAAGUGGGGGAUCUUCGGACCUCACGCUAUCAGAUGAGCCUAGGUCGGAUUAGCUAGUUGGUGGGGUAAAGGCCUACCAAGGCGACGAUCCGUAACUGGUCUGAGAGGAUGAUCAGUCACACUGGAACUGAGACACGGUCCAGACUCCUACGGGAGGCGGCAGUGGGGAAUAUUGGACAAUGAGCGAAAGACUGAUCCAGCCAUGCCGCGUGUGUGAAGAAGGUCUUCGGAUUGUAAAGCACUUUAAGUUGGGAGGAAGGGCAGUAAGUUAAUACCUUGCUGUUUUGACGUUACCAGCAGAAUAAGCACCGGCUAACUUCGUG
rnacentral:rRNA from 1 species